rnacentral:rRNA from 1 species
UACGGGGGGGGCAAGCGUUGUUCGGAAUUACUGGGCGUAAAGGGCUCGUAGGCGGCCAACUAAGUCAGACGUGAAAUCCCUCGGCUUAACCGGGGAACUGCCUCUGAUACUGGAUGGCUUGAGAUUGGGAGAGGGAUGCGGAAUUCCGGGUGUAGCGGUGAAAUGCGUAGAUAUCCGGAGGAACACCGGUGGCGAAGGCGGCUUCCUGGACCGACACUGACGCUGAGGCGCGAAAGCUAGGGGAGCAAACGGG